AUUUUUAAGUAUCCCUAAGUUUGUCUUUUAACAGUUCUGUACCUGUUGACAGUCCUGGUGUUAAAUGAGGGAACUGAGGGAGACCCUGAAGGUGCCUGCCCCCGAGAAAUGAGCAACCAGGAUGAGGCCUGCUGGGACACCCCACUCGCUCCAGAGCCUGCAGACAGGAUCCAGGAAAACUGGUAGAAGCUGCCAAAGGCAGAAGAGGGGCUGGCCCCAUGGCCGAGUGGUUAAGUU